rnacentral:ncRNA from 1 species
UUCUUCAGGGCGAGGUGAAAUUCCUCACCGGCUGUAACUGCAUUGCAGAAGCCAGCGAGCGAGUCGAUUAUCGAUGAGCAUGAUACGGUGUAAUUCCGUGGCCGACAGUAAAGUCUGGAUGAGAGAAGAU